UAUAAGGGAGGAGACUAACGCGCCCGGUAACCUGGCCUGUGCGCAUAUUCACCUGCGCAUCCAGCAUCUCAUCCUUUUGUCUCCAGUGGGUUGGUGCGGCGUGUGCUGCUGGGUUUUCUUUGUAUUGGCGAUUUUUUUUUGAGAGGUAGAUGGGUUCACCGACUGGCGACUUCGGCCUUAAAGGAAAUUAGCCCCCUUGGUAGAGUGGAAUGAGUUUUCACGGUGCCAUGUCUAUUAAUAAAGUUAAGCACCCGUAAGGAAUCUCGUCACGUCAUUUAUUGAACCAAGGGUCCGCUAC